GCUGGGUGCAAUGAAGCACACCUGUAGUCCCAGCUCCCUGGAUGCUGAGAUAGGAGAAUCACUUGAGUUCAGGGGUUUCAGGCCAGACUGGCCAACAUAAUGAGACCCUGUCUCAA
rnacentral:sRNA from 1 species